AUUGAACGCUGGCGGCAUGCCUUACACAUGCAAGUCGAACGGCAGCACGGGGGCAACCCUGGUGGCGAGUGGCGAACGGGUGAGUAAUGCAUCGGAACGUACCCGGAAGUGGGGGAUAACGUAGCGAAAGUUACGCUAAUACCGCAUAUUCUGUGAGCAGGAAAGUGGGGGCCCGCAAGGCCUCACGCUUUCGGAGAGGCCGCUGUCGGAUUAGCUAGUAGGCGGGGUAAAGGCCCACCAAGGCGACGAUCCGUAGCGGGUCUGGGAGGAGGAUCCGCCACACUGGGACUGAGACACGGCCCAGACUCCUACGGGAGGCAGCAGUGGGGAAUUUUGGACAGUGGGCGCAAGCCUGAUCCAGCCAUGCCGCGUGAGUGAAGAAGGCCUUCGGGUUGUAAAGCUCUUUCGGCGGGGAAGAAAUUGCUUAGGUUAAUACCUUGAGUAGAUGACGGUACCCGCAUAAGAAGCACCGGCUAACUACGUGCCAGCAGCCGCCGUAAAAC
rnacentral:rRNA from 1 species